CUCACGUGUGAGAACUGGACAUGCGCAGUGCGGUUCACGCAUUAAACAUCUCCAUAGCAACAAGAGUAGUAGCGCUAAAGCAGGUUAGGCCCAGGGGCUAGCAGGGGCAGGGGUGCUGAAGGAGUGUGCACUGUAGAGUUUUGGAUAGUGAAAAGCAUUUGGAGAGGGAUGACGGCGAUGGUGGAUGCACCUUCUGCCCCUGGAUGGGCUAGCUCAUGGUCAAGUACAUGGAAAAUGUCGUUACAUUUAGACAUAGCCAUCCAAUGUUCCGUAGAACAAGGAUAAUAUAAGUAGCGGUCAGUAUGCCGUCUUGCUGGUCCAAGGCCCUCAACAGAAAUCACUAGAAGCUCACUAGAAGCUAGAAGGGAUACGUCAUUCCUCAAACAGUCUACGUUAACGAUGUCAUUCUCAAAGCCUGCCCAAGGGAACGUAUGUCCAAUACCAGCAGACCAAAGUCGCUCCUACCCUAGAUGUCCUGUGCUGACCUGUAUAGCACUAAGGCCACGGGCCACCCAGAUGACCAACCCUCUAGGGAGAGACUGCCCUACUGCGCUCCUCUCGGCCAGCUCUACGUAAAGAGCCAAGGCCUGGAUGCUGGCCUACCCACCAGCCAGACGAAACGGAAUCUAAGACUGGCUGAACUUAUGGGAACCCUGUCGUGCAGAGUUUUCCAGCUUUGAGAGAGAAGCUGACCCACUUUGGCUCUGCUGCUAUCCCUGAGCUGGAGGAGAGAUUCAUUCAUGCACUCAGCCAGACAUUGGAUGGACCAGCAGACAAGUUACCAGCCUGGUUGGAUCUUAUACUGAAGCAGGGGAAUGGCGAAGCAGAAACCCUUCAGAGAAAACAGUCAUUGUGAAAGCAAACCUCCCGUGCUAUGAACGUGCUAUGAACGUGCUAUGAACCUGCUGGCCGUCUGCUCUGGCUUUGGCAAAUGGGGAAAGCUUCCACCAGGUGGGACCUGGGCAGAAAGGAGGACUCACACAAUCUGUCUGACAGCUCGGAUCCAAAGGCGUUUGAGCCUGUGGAGAAGGGAGCUCCUGUUGCAGGGAGUCAAGAUGAAAGGGGCCCUGAGAUUGGAGACAAGGAGACAGGCUUCCAGAGGACAUGUCAGAGCUUCUCUCCUGGAUGCUAGCAGGCAGCACUGGGUCCUAAGCACCGAGGCUGUGGGGCUGCUCCAAGGCCUGUCUGCACAUCACCAUGGCGAUUCCCUUCCUUGGGAAACAACUACGUUUGUUUUCUUUUCCAUAUUCUGGACGGAGGCCAUUUGAUAAUUACAAAAUGUACAACCCAUAAUGUGUCCUAAACUGUCUUUGAAUAGUAUGUGGUUUUGAAAUAAUACAUAAAAAGCUUAAUAAAAAUUAAUGUGUUAAAGAGACUCAUCAGCCUCAGUUGGAAAUAAAAUCGGUAUUAAUUAUUGCCCACAGUCACUCUGAUGAGCUAGGGAUGGCGGGACCAUUUCCUCCAUGUAGUAAGGAAACUUGGAAACACCUGCCACUCUGCCCUUCAAGUCCCCAGAGCCCAAGUUCUCAGCAGCGCAGUCCUGUGUAUCAUGGUUCCUCCCUAGGGUUCCCUAUGCAGUCUGUGUUGGAUCCCAGGGAAAGAAAUGUAUGAGGGUGGAGCUUGACAAGGGACACCUGACUGUGAGGGUGGAGCUUCACGUGGAAUUUACAACUAUGGGGGUGGAGCUUGACAAGGGGACCUGUGACUAUGAGGAAGGAGCUUCACAUUGGGACACGUGACUAUGAGGAUAAAGCUUGACAUAGGACACAUCACUAUGAGGGCAGAACUUGGCAGAGGGGGUGAAGCUCGACACUGGGACAUGUGAUUAUGAGGGAGGAGCGUCACAUUGGGACACGUGACUAUGGGGAGGAGCUUCACAUCAGACACGUGACUAUGAGGGCGGAGCCUGACAUAGGACGCAUCACUAUGAGGGCAGAACUUGGCAGAGGGGGUGAAGCUCGACACUGGGACAUGUGAUUAUGAGGGAGGAGCGUCACAUUGGGACACGUGACUAUGGGGAGGAGCUUCACACCAGACACGUGACUAUGAGGGCGGAGCCUGACAUAGGACACAUCACCGUAAGGGCAGAACUUGGCAGUGGGGGCGAAGCUCGACACUGGGACAUGUGACUAUUUAGGCAGAGCUUGACAUGGGACACAUCACUCUCUGCUGGAGUAUCCUUGAGAGACUCAUAUCUUUGGACACAGCAGUCCCCAGGAGCUAGCCUGAACCUCAAACCUUGCUUGAGCGUGGAGUUGUAGAACAACAGAGCAGCAGGUGACAAAUCCCCCACCAUCCGUGACCACAGCCCUGUUGUGUUUCCGGGUAGCUCAGCUAGGAAGCGGGAAGCCACAGUUCUGGUCAGUCCGCACCCAAGAAAGCUUUCAGACCAAGAAGGUCAAUCAAUGGGCUGCUGUGUGCCGUGGAAACUGUCACAGCCAUCCAUAAAGGCCUGGGUUCUGGAAUUCCUGCCCCUUCCCCACUGCAGCGGGGUCCCUGGACUAUAUCCCCAAGCAUCCAGCACUCUGUUUCCUCAUCUGUACGACAGAUUGCCUGUCUUGCGGGAUUGGAGGAAGCAACCGAUUUAGAUGAUUCACUCAAGAGCCAAGUACAGGGUAAAUGAUAAUAUACGUUAUCAAGCGAGAGGAGAUGGUACUGGUUAUGGUGAUGAGGCUGGAGAUAAAGAUGAUAAGAGAUAACGAUGGAGAUGACGGUGGUGAUGAUGCUGAUAUGCUGAUGGGGCAGAGAUGAUGGUGAUGAUGGUAACAGGGAUGCUGAUGCUGGCAGUAAUGACGAUGACAGAAGUGAUGGUGAUGAUGCCGGAGAGGAUGUGUUGAUGACAUCAGUGACCAACAGGGACCGGAUGACGAUGGUAGUACUAUGACAGUGACAAUGGCGUUGGAACAGUUAAAGCUAUGGUGGUGACAACCACAGUGACCGUGAUGAGAGAGAUGAAGAUGGCGGCUGUGACCACAGUCAUCAUGAUGAAGACCAUGGGAUGCGCUCUCUGGCUUAUGGGCAAAAUGUGAUCCGGAUGGCCAAACGCUCGAGGGCUCGGAGCCCAUACCCUCAAGCCAGAGCUCAGCUCCCUCCCUCCCAGUCCUGCAGGCUCAGCAGAUGCAAUCUUGAAUCCUUAUUCAUCAAAGAGAAGGUCAGAGGGAGAGCCCCUCCCUGCACUGGCUCAUAUCCAGACACCUCUCUCCAGUCACCCCAUCCACAGGCAUCCGCUGCCGGCCCUGUCAGGAAGGUCCUGCGCCAUCCCUGUUCCAGAAUCCUAACUGCACUAUCCCCGUCCAGAAUCCCUAUCUGCUGGGCCAGCUGUUUGCAUCCUGCCUUUGGUGGGAAUCCAUCCCUUUGGACUAAAUACCACCGCACACAAAACGCUUCGUGGCUUCUCUGGAGAAAAGGAGGUGCCAUGGGAAACCGCCAUGGUAGACACUGCUCAUUAUCUGGGUUAUUUUUGUUGCAACCAACACAACCUAGGCAUAAACAAAACAGCAUAGAGUCCUAGGAGCCAAGCCGGAAUCCCCACAGGCACGCUCCAAGUAAUCCGAUGCGCUGCGCAGGACUUAGUGCAAAAACCUCAUGCUCAGCCACGGGGUCUCCAGAAGACCAGUGAGUAGGGGCAGGGUCUGUCUGUGAAGCAGUGUCUCCACCGGCCCAUCGCUUCACAGUGUUACACUUCUGACCGCCAGAGUUCCAAGCCUGCUUGCUUGGCACUGAGAUCCUAAGCCCAUCCUUCUGAACCGGAAAGAUCCAGUGUUAACCGUCACUUCACACUCCGGGAAGGGGGGGAAAACCCAGUCCACUCAUAUCUGGCUCAGAAAAGCCUUGGAAAAGUUUACUUUUUUGUAAAUGUUUUCUUUACCGAAGCCAAAUCCCAGAGCUGAUGCGAUGUGCGGUGGAUUAGACAAUUAAAGCAGGCGCACAGAAUACAAAUCUGAGUUUGCUCAGCUGGGUCGAGAGGAUCUCGCCAUUUCCUUCCUCCCCCAAGUCAAUUUACUCAGAGAGCGGCCUUCUCUCCAGAUAAGCACAUUGACUUUAAAAUAACGUGCGUGCCAACAGCUGCAGCCCUACGACAGAGCAGACAGAGCCGUGGCAGCGAAUGAUAAUUAAAUAUAUUUUCAUCAUCCGUCAUUUCUCCUUUUUUUUUCUGCAGGUGCCAGGGUAAUAAAUCUGAACUCGCCUCUCUUGUCAGCUGGCAGUGAACACAUUUUAACUUGAGAUCUCUUGGGAGGAAUUAAGAGUCAGUUGGCCUUGUAAAGGAGAAAGGGUUUUUACUUCCAAACUGCCAAGUGGGGAGCUCACAGCUGAUUGGUUUCAUGAUACUUUAUUAUUUGACAAUAUAUACGCGUCAGGUUUGUAUUUCAGAGCACCACACCUACAGGAUAACCAGGGCUCCAAGAGAUCCAUCACCGGAUUCCAGAAUAAAAACCAAUUUGAGAAGAUUUUCACCAUGAUUUCUUUUUAUGAAUCCCAGAUUUAAUGUAUUAUUGACUUAGGUUUAUUCCAAUAUUUUGGAACUUUUUCAGCGUUCUUUAAAUCCCCCCACAGCCCUUUUACUCCUUGUAGCAAGCACAUCACGGGCAAAGCUGUUGCCGGUGCCCCUGCAGCCUGAGCUAAGUGCUUUCGAUUGGGCCCGAGGAGUUUGGUUGACUUUUUAUUUUGACGGUUUAACGGCUCCUUCUCCCCAGGGGCAGCCUCGUGUAUGCAGUCCUCGAGAAAGCCCUGAUGGAGCAGCACCUCAGCUUCCUCAGCCUUUUCGCCCUCUCCCAGCGACAGGUCCUCUGCAAAAUACCUUCGCUUAAGGGCUAGCCAGGCUAAAGCCACCAGGGAAAGCAGAGAAGUCUCAGGGGAGGCGGGGACUGGCAGAGGGUGGUGAGGCCCCAGGUGGUCCCUGCCCAUCAUGAACCAGUCCUGACUGGCAGUGAGAGGUUUGCCAGCUCCGCCUACCACACCCAGCGUUUCCAAGCUUACUUUCCCCCUCUUAACUUUCCGGAAAGGAAACCCUCAUCUUGACCUCACCCACGUGAAUCCUUGAUCACUAAUGCCUAAGACUGGUGACGUGAGAAAGGUGAAGAGGAAGGCUUUGAACAUGGUUUCCUUGGAAGAGAAGACGCGAUUUCAUCAAGCUAUGACCAAGGUCCUCGAACGAUGGGAAGAAACGCCCCGCCCACUCCUCAUGUGACAGGAAAGAAAGGAAUCCAAACCGACUACAGAGCUAAGCUGAAAAUAAACUUCCACUUGCUGCUAAGGCUGAAGGCCUGAGUUCAACAUUGUUGUCCUCUGAAUGUGCGCAGGUGCACAGGCCCUCACACGCAAAUAAAUGUAAUAAAACGUAAAAUUGAAAACAAA